GAUGAAGAACGUAGCGAAAUGCGAUAAUUAAUGUGAAUUGCAGAAUUUAGUGAAUCAUCGAGUCUUUGAACGCACAUUGCGCCCUCUGGUAUUCCGGGGGGCAUGCCUGUUCGAGCGUCAUUAUAACCACUCAAGCUCUCGCUUGGUAUUGGGGUUCGCGGUUUCGCGGCCCCUAAAAUCAGUGGCGGUGCCUGUCGGCUCUACGCGUAGUAAUACUUCUCGCGAUUGAGUUCGAUAGGUCUACUUGCCAGUAACCCCCAAUUUUUACAGGUUGACCUCGGAUCAGGUAGGGAUACCCGCUGAACUUAAGCAUAUCAAUAAGCGGAGGA
rnacentral:misc_RNA from 1 species